GAAUCACUGAAUUUGGUGAUUCUUUGUCUUACAGGAAGAAUUUAAGAGGAUUGAGAAUCCUUGCAUACACUGCUGUUUGUUCUUAGAACCGCAGCAUUCCUGGAUUACAAAACUUAAAGGAAACUUAGGAGGAGGAGGAGGACCCUGAGCUUGUCUCCUUCCUGAACACAGCUAGAUCGUUCUCAGACUACUCAGAACAUCCAAGAAAUCAGAGCUCUGAGAGAACAAAAACUGCAAAGUCUACAAGUAGAAAAAGGACCACCUUUUGGAAGCUAUAGAUACUCGCUUUUUGUUGGUGGGGAAGGGAGUCCAGAUUUGACUUCUACCUGGAAAGCAAAGUAAGUGAGACUCAAGGCUCCAGGCUCCAAUAGCUGCUUCUGGCAUCUCUCGUCUUACAAAGUAAGCCACUCUAAAAGUCAAAAUGCAUAUAUUAUUUAAUCAAUGAAAAAUUCUUUUUACUUAAUUCUGAAUGUUUUCAUACCAGAA
rnacentral:lncRNA from 1 species